GACGAACGCUGGCGGCGUGCUUAACACAUGCAAGUCGAACGGUGAAGCGCCUUCCUUUUUGGUGGGUGUGGAUGAGUGGCGAACGGGUGAGUAACACGUGAGUAACCUGCCCCCUUCUUCUGGAUAACCGCAUGAAAGUGUGGCUAAUACGGGAUAUUCUGGGUCUGUCGCAUGAUGGGUCUGGGAAAGAUAUUGUUUCGGUGGGGGAUGGGCUCGCGGCCUAUCAGCUUGUUGGUGGGGUGAUGGCCUACCAAGGCGGUGACGGGUAGCCGGCCUGAGAGGGUGGACGGUCACACUGGGACUGAGACACGGCCCAGACUCAUACGGGAGGCAGCAGUGGGGAAUAUUGCACAAUGGGCGCAAGCCUGAUGCAGCGACGCCGCGUGAGGGAUGGAGGCCUUCGGGUUGUGAACCUCUUUCGCCAGUGAAGCAGGCCUGCCUCGUUUGUGGGUGGGUUGACGGUAGCUGGAUAAGAAGCGCCGGCUAACUACGU
rnacentral:rRNA from 1 species